rnacentral:rRNA from 1 species
UACGUAGGGUGCGAGCGUUGUCCGGAAUUACUGGCGUAAAGAGCUCGUAGGUGGUUUGUCGCGUUGUUCGUGAAAACUCACAGCUCAACUGUGGGCGUGCGGGCGAUACGGGCAGACUAGAGUACUGCAGGGGAGACUGGAAUUCCUGGUGUAGCGGUGGAAUGCGCAGAUAUCAGGAGGAACACCGGUGGCGAAGGCGGGUCUCUGGGCAGUAACUGACGCUGAGGGUGCGAAAGCGUGGGAGCAAACAGG